UUGCUGCUUUGCUGACAAGUGGCGGACGGGUGAGUAAUGUCUGGGAAACUGCCUGAUGGAGGGGGAUAACUACUGGAAACGGUAGCUAAUACCGCAUAACGUCGCAAGACCAAAGAGGGGGACCUUAGGGCCUCUUGCCAUCGGAUGUGCCCAGAUGGGAUUAGCUAGUAGGUGGGGUAACGGCUCACCUAGGCGACGAUCCCUAGCUGGUCUGAGAGGAUGACCAGCCACACUGGAACUGAGACACGGUCCAGACUCCUACGGGAGGCAGCAGUGGGGAAUAUUGCACAAUGGGCGCAAGCCUGAUGCAGCCAUGCCGCGUGUAUGAAGAAGGCCUUCGGGUUGUAAAGUACUUUCAGCGGGGAGGAAGGGAGUAAAGUUAAUACCUUUGCUCAUUGACGUUACCCGCAGAAGAAGCACCGGCUAACUCCGUGCCAGCAGCCGCGGUAAUACGGAGGGUGCAAGCGUUAAUCGGAAUUACUGGGCGUAAAGCGCACGCAGGCGGUUUGUUAAGUCAGAUGUGAAAUCCCCGGGCUCAACCUGGGAACUGCAUCUGAUACUGGCAAGCUUGAGUCUCGUAGAGGGGGGUAGAAUUCCAGGUGUAGCGGUGAAAUGCGUAGAGAUCUGGAGGAAUACCGGUGGCGAAGGCCGCCCCCUGGACGAAGACUGACGCUCAAGUGCGAAAGCGUGGGGAGCAAC
rnacentral:rRNA from 1 species